ACCAGUGAUUUUCCAACCCUCAUUUUGGGGCCGAAUUUCGGCCCCAUUCCCAAAGAGAAAUAUGCUCUUUUUUUCCCAAUUUUCAGCUCAAAAAUUCCCAAUCGUAUAUGGACAUCGUCGCGAGAUUUUGUUAUUGUCGUAUCUCCGUAUCGUGUAUUAUUUUGUUGACAAAUCUCUGAGCGUUCGGGUAUUCGGGAGUUAUCAUUAUCGUUCACUUAAGACGAUGAUUGGUUUGCAAUCUUUUUUGGAUUGCAUUGCAAUCUACGAUAUUCUGGUCACGUUUGCGCUUGAAACAUAUGAAUGAAUAAUUCAAUGACAAAGCAAAAAAAUGAGACAUAAUGUAAACAAAAUGAACGUAUAAUUCCAAAUAUUACACAAAG
rnacentral:lncRNA from 1 species